GACGAACGCUGGCGGCGUGCUUAACACAUGCAAGUCGAACGGAAAGGCCCUGCUUUUGUGGGGUGCUCGAGUGGCGAACGGGUGAGUAACACGUGAGUAACCUGCCCUUGACUUUGGGAUAACUUCAGGAAACUGGGGCUAAUACCGGAUAGGAGCUCCUGCUGCAUGGUGGGGGUUGGAAAGUUUCGGCGGUUGGGGAUGGACUCGCGGCUUAUCAGCUUGUUGGUGGGGUAGUGGCUUACCAAGGCUUUGACGGGUAGCCGGCCUGAGAGGGUGACCGGGCACAUUGGGACUGAGGUACGGCCCAGACGCGUACGGGAGGCAGCAGGGGGGAGUAUUGCACAAUGGGCGGAAGUCUGAUGCAACAGUGCCGCGUGCGGAAUGACGGCCUUCGGGUUGUAAACCGCUUUCGCCUGUGACGAAGCGUGAGUGACGGUAAUGGGUAAAGAAGCACCGGCUAACUACGUG
rnacentral:rRNA from 1 species